GAUGAACGCUGGCGGCGUGCCUAAUACAUGCAAGUCGAGCGAAGCGGGGACGGGUUAGUAACACGUGGAUAACCUCCUAUAAGACUGGGAUAACUUCGGGAAACAGGAGCUAAACCGGAUACUGAACGAUGGAUCUCCACUGCAUUAGCUAGUUGGUAAGGUAACGGCUUACCAAGGCAACGAGGCAUAGCCGACCUGAGAGGGUGAUCGGUCGCACUGGAACUGAGACACGGUCCAGACUCCUACGGGAGGCAGCAGUAGGGAAUCUUCCGCAAUGGGCGAAAGCCUGACUGAGCAACGCCGCGUGAGUGAUGAAGGUCUUCGGAUCGUAAAACUCUGUUAUUAGGGAAGCGGUACCUAAUCAGAAAGCCACGGCUAACUACGUGCCAGCAGCCGCGGUAAUUC
rnacentral:rRNA from 1 species